rnacentral:rRNA from 1 species
CCUACGGGUGGCAGCAGUGAGGAAUAUUGGUCAAUGGGCGGAAGCCUGAACCAGCCAAGUCGCGUGAGGGAUUAAGGCCCUGCGGGCCGUAAACCUCUUUUGCCGGGGAGCAGAGGUCCGGACGUGUCCGGGCCGGGAGAGUACCCGGAGAAAAAGCAUCGGCUAACUCCGUGCCAGCAGCCGCGGUAAUACGGGGGAUGCGAGCGUUAUCCGGAUUUAUGGGGUUUAAGGGGUGCGUAGGCGGGCAUUUAAGCCGGCGGUCAAAUGUCGGGGCCCAACCCCGGCCUGCCGUCGGAACUGGGUGCCUUGAGUGGGCGAGAGGUAGGCGGAAUGCGUGGUGUAGCGGUGAAAUGCAUAGAUAUCACGCAGAACCCCGGUUGCGAAGGCAGCAUGCCGGCGCCCUACUGACGCUGAGGCACGAAAGUGCGGGUAGCGAACAGGAUUAGAUACCCGAGUAGUC